UUCACUCUUGUUCAGUAGCAUCGCUGAGGUCGCAUAUUUUAGUUGUGUCAUGCCGAUGCCUAUAAGGCAAAAUAGAUGAGAUGAGUUGUCUUAAAUCAACGAAAACAAAUUAUAUGACUUGCGAAACUGUGAACGAUUGUCUUAUCUCCAGUGUGUACAACACCACCACAUGCUUGUGCUGUGGCUAGAAUAUUGAUUGCUAAAAUAAAUCGUCGUCAAUGUGCUAACGUUAUAUUCUCCAUAGGCCAUCGGUAAGCUUGAUAUUGGGAAGAUUAAUAGAUGAUUACUUUUUAAAACUUCAAAUUACGUCUUUCGAAAUAUAAUAAUGUAUGACAAUUUAAAAAUAAUCUUCUAGAAAAGAGUAAUAAUAAUUAAAAAAAUAUAAUAAUACAGAUGGCACGAUGUAAUAUUGCGUUCAUACUCGAAGCCAGAUGGCGCUCUCUCUUGCAGUAUUCUGUACGCGAUGUCCCAACUCGUUCAUAGAAGUAGACUCUCCCGCAAAUAUCCUCGACCUCGUGUAGAAAGUCUCUGGCUAAAACGCUAAAACACCAGCAGUCGUGACCAUGAUCGUGAAGAUAGUAUCUUUUUCUGCAAACCAUCUCGGAUCAACGUGAGGCUCCUUGUAGCAGUGUCUUAAGCAUUCAGCAACGUGAGGAUCCUUGUAGCGGUGUCUUUUGUGACAAUGGAGAUAUCCUGCAGCACAUAAUGAAAAUUGCCAUCUGCAAGAGGGAUUAUCAGGAGGAUUUCAGCAUCAUCUUGGAGGGGGUGCAAGUCAUGGCUGGCUUGGAAAAUCUGGCAAGAGCCUGUGCUGUUCUUCUUGGAUCACAUAUGCACUUAACCUCACCUACCUGAAAGAACUUAGGCACACUUUUGAGGCCUUUCAGAAGCUCUUCUUGGAACUGGAUGUUUGCAAGUUUUCACCAAAAAUACUAACACUUAAAAACAAACUCAUGACUUAGAUUGAGACAAUGCAUUAUUACCAAGUUCUGGUGAAAAGUAAACUGCAUUGAUUGAUGAACGUUUAAUAUUGUUCUACAUACAAGCUUUCAGAAAGUACAAAUGUUUUACAAAGUCUUGCUACAAGUUAUUCUCAAGUUUUAGUCCAUAAUGUGACUUUUCUAACAGAAAAAUGUUGCAUACAAAUUUGUAUGCACAAGUUGUUUUACAAAAUUAUCUUUCUCAUGGAAAAUGUUGGCAUUUUUUAAUUUUAUUUUCAUAUCUUAAAACUGCUGACUUACAUUUUAUACAGAUUUGUUUUAUUUGUGCAAAAAAAAGAAAGAUUAAAAGCAUGUUUGAUAACAAAAA